rnacentral:rRNA from 1 species
UACGAAGGGGGCUAGCGUUGCUCGGAAUUACUGGGCGUAAAGGGCGCGUAGGCGGUUCUAUAAGUCAGGCGUGAAAUUCCUGGGCUUAACCUGGGGGCUGCGCUUGAGACUGUGGGACUUGAGGUCAGAAGAGGGUCGUGGAAUUCCCAGUGUAGAGGUGAAAUUCGUAGAUAUUGGGAAGAACACCGGUGGCGAAGGCGGCGACCUGGUCUGAUACUGACGCUGGGGCGCGACAGCGUGGGGAGCAAACAGG